ensembl:misc_RNA
CUGACAGCCCUGCCAACCAAAGUCCUCUCUCUUAACUGGGGAAGCAAAAGAAAAUCUUACAAACACCUAGUGCAGCUGAAGCAUCAAUGGUGCAAGCUGCUCUGUGCCAUCCUUCCAGCAUGCCUCAAUUCUGAUUGACAAGGACCAUCUCAAAAGUGAGAGGUUAUUUCAGUUUCCACAACCUAUUCAGCAUUUGGCUUGU